CAAUAGCGUAUAUUAAAGUUGUUGCAGUUAAAAAGCUCGUAGUUGGACCUUGGACCUGGACAGGCGGUCCGCCUCACGGCGUGUACUGUCUUGCUGGGUCUUUCCUCUUGGUGAUCUGUUGUUUCGGCAGCAGGGAACCAGGACUUUUACUUUGAAAAAAUUAGAGUGUUCAAAGCAGGCUCGACGCCGGAAUAUAUUAGCAUGGAAUAAUAAAAUAGGACGUGCGGUUCUAUUUUGUUGGUUUUUGGAAUCGCCGUAAUGAUUAAUAGGGACAGUCGGGGGCAUUAGUACUCACAUGCUAGAGGUGAAAUUCUUGGAUUUUGUGAAGACUAACUUCUGCGAAAGCAUUUACCAAGGAUGUUUUCAUUAA
rnacentral:rRNA from 1 species